UACAGAAUUUCGAUUACAAACUUCUAGCAGAACGUAUUGGAAUUUACUUUAUGUGUCUUAUUUCAAUAAUUUCUCUAGUAUACGUCAUGAGAGCUAUACAUUUAAUUUGGGGAUUGUUCAAAGAACCGCUGACUAUAUUUAUCCAUUCGAACUUGUUGGUUGGAGCACUUCUAUUGACGUUAGUGUUUAUUGUCAGUUCAGAGACGAUGGAUUUUCACAUUUUUUGUACUACAUUCGGUGUACUGGUUCAUUUUUUCUAU